rnacentral:rRNA from 1 species
GGGCCCGCACAAGCGGCGGAGCAUGUGGAUUAAUUCGAUGCAACGCGAAGAACCUUACCUGGGUUUGACAUGCACAGGACGACUGCAGAGAUGUGGUUUCCCUUGUGGCCUGUGUGCAGGUGGUGCAUGGCUGUCGUCAGCUCGUGUCGUGAGAUGUUGGGUUAAGUCCCGCAACGAGCGCAACCCUUGUCUCAUGUUGCCAGCGCGUUAUGGCGGGGACUCGUGAGAGACUGCCGGGGUCAACUCGGAGGAAGGUGGGGAUGACGUCAAGUCAUCAUGCCCCUUAUGUCCAGGGCUUCACACAUGCUACAAUGGCCGGUACAAAGGGCUGCGAUGCCGUGAGGUGGAGCGAAUCCUUUCAAAGCCGGUCUCAGUUCGGAUCGGGGUCUGCAACUCGACCCCGUGAAGUCGGAGUCGCUAGUAAUCGCAGAUCAGCAACGCUGCGGUGAAUACGUUCCCGGGCCUU